rnacentral:rRNA from 1 species
AGAGGGUGCAAACGUUGUUCGGAUUUACUGGGCGUAAAGCGUGUGUAGGCGGCUUGGCAAGUUGGAUGUGAAAGCCCACGGCUCAACCGGGGGAAGCGCAUCCAAAACUGCUUCGCUCGAGUCUCGGAGAGGAAGGUGGAAUGCUUGGUGUAGAGGUGAAAUUCGUAGAUAUCAAGCAGAACACCUGCGGCGAAGGCGGCCUUCUGGACGAUGACUGACGCUGAGACACGAAAGCGUGGGGAGCAAACAGGAUUAGAUACCCUGGUAGUCCACGCCGUAAACGAUGAGUGCUAGGUGUCACGGGCUUUGACCCUCGUGGUGCCGUAGCUAACGCAAUAAGCACUCCGCCUGGGGAGUACGGUCGCAAGACU